AACACACCAGACUGCGUGACCAGAGCCAAUGGGUAUGCCCGAUCAUGUGUUCUGAGGACACUGUGAUGUAUACGAGUUAAAGAUGAACUCCUGUCGGAUUUGUUAAUGGCUGUUUGAUGAUCAUACAAAGACAGUUAAAGGCAACGAAAAGGAAUGCAAGGGAAUAAAUGCUGCCAGUGAGAUAAAAAAUAACAGUUUAAAAGUUGAAUCGGAAUAAUAUAUCUACAUUGAGUGUAGAAAGAUGUACUUUAACCCACAUUACACUAAAAGAGACACUAAGACAGAAAAAGUAAACACUGAUGCCACCAUUAACACCAUUGAGAUCAAUGACUGAUAAGUUUUCAUACAAAAAAGAUUGUUUAUAUUGUGGUCAAUCUGUAAUAAGUAAGGGUAAAACAAGGAAGUGUGAUGUUUUGCCAGUAAAUACACUAGAACCUACUAUAUACAGAGGAAUGACUGUUUGUCUGAUACAGUGAGAGCAAGGAUAGAACAGGUUCACAACUUGCUUGUAGCCGAUGCUCUUUACCAUCAAACAUGUUUAUGCUCCUCUAAUUUCAGAACUGGAAAAGAUAUACCAGAAGAAUUUCAGGUGCUACCAUCUAGUGAUAAAAA